GACGAACGCUGGCGGCGUGCCUAAUACAUGCAAGUAGAACGAGUUGCGAACGGGUGAGUAACGCGUGGUAACCUGCCUCAAAGCGGGGGAUAACUUUUGGAAACGAUAGCUAAUACCGCAUACAGUGUGAUGGAACUGCGUUGUAUUAGCUAGUUGGGGAGGUAAAGGCUGAACAAGGAGACCAUACAUAGCCGACCUGAGAGGGUGAGCGGCCACACUGGAACUGAGACACGGUCCAGACUCCUACGGUAGGCAGCAGUGGGGAAUAUUGCACAAUGGGCGAAAGCCUGAUGCAGCAAUGCCGCGUGUAUGAAGAAGGCCUUCGGGUUGUAAAGUACUUUCAGCGGGGAGGCGUUACCCGCAGAAGAAGCACCGGCUAACUCCGUGCCAGCAGCCGCGGUAAUAC
rnacentral:rRNA from 1 species